rnacentral:rRNA from 1 species
UUAAAGAGAGUUUGAUCCUGGCUCAGGACGAACGCUGGCGGCGUGCCUAAUACAUGCAAGUCGAACGAACCGACGAAAAGCUUGCUUUUCUGACGUGAGUGGCGGACGGGUGAGUAACACGUGGGCAACCUGCCUAUCAGUUGGGGAUAACUCCGGGAAACCGGGGCUAAUACCGAAUAAUAACGAGCGUCGCAUGACGCUGGUUUGAAAGAUGGUUUCGGCUAUCGCUGAUAGAUGGGCCCGCGGUGCAUUAGCUAGUUGGUGGGGUAAUGGCUCACCAAGGCAACGAUGCAUAGCCGACCUGAGAGGGUGAUCGGCCACACUGGGACUGAGACACGGCCCAGACUCCUACGGGAGGCAGCAGUAGGGAAUCUUCCGCAAUGGACGAAAGUCUGACGGAGCAACGCCGCGUGUGUGAAGAAGGUUUUCGGAUCGUAAAGCACUGUUGUUAGAGAAGAACAAGGAUAAGAGUAACUGCUUGUCCCUUGACGGUAUCUAACCAGAAAGCCACGGCUAACUACGUGCCAGCAGCCGCGGUAAUACGUAGGUGGCAAGCGUUGUCCGGAUUUAUUGGGCGUAAAGCGAGCGCAGGCGGUUUCUUAAGUCUGAUGUGAAAGCCCCCGGCUUAACCGGGGAGGGUCAUUGGAAACUGAGAGACUUGAAUGCAGGAGAGGUAAGUGGAAUUCCACGUGUAGCGGUGAAAUGCGUAGAUAUGUGGAGGAACACCAGUGGCGAAGGCGGCUUACUGGCCUGUAAUUGACGCUGAGGCUCGAAAGCGUGGGGAGCAAACAGGAUUAGAUACCCUGGUAGUCCACGCCGUAAACGAUGAGUGCUAAGUGUUAGGGGGUUUCCGCCCCUUAGUGCUGCAGCUAACGCAUUAAGCACUCCGCCUGGGGAGUACGACCGCAAGGUUGAAACUCAAAGGAAUUGACGGGGGCCCGCACAAGUGGUGGAGCAUGUGGUUUAAUUCGAAGCAACGCGAAGAACCUUACCAGGUCUUGACAUCCUUUGACCACUCUGGAGACAGAGCUUUCCCUUCGGGGACAAAGUGACAGGUGGUGCAUGGUUGUCGUCAGCUCGUGUCGUGAGAUGUUGGGUUAAGUCCCGCAACGAGCGCAACCCUUGAUUUUAGUUGCCAGCAUUUAGUUGGGCACUCUAAAGUGACUGCCGGUGCAAGCCGGAGGAAGGUGGGGAUGACGUCAAAUCAUCAUGCCCCUUAUGACCUGGGCUACACACGUGCUACAAUGGAUAAUACAAAGGGUUGCCAAACCG